AGCGAACGCUGGCGGCAGGCUUAACACAUGCAAGUCGAACGCCCGUAGCAAUACGGGAGCGGCAGACGGGUGAGUAACGCGUGGGAACAUGCCCUUUGGUUCGGAAUAACUCAGGGAAACUUGAGCUAAUACCGGAUAAGCCCGAGAGGGGAAAGAUUUAUCGCCGAAGGAUUGGCCCGCGUCCGAUUAGCUAGUUGGUGAGGUAAUGGCUCACCAAGGCGACGAUCGGUAGCUGGUCUGAGAGGAUGAUCAGCCACACUGGGACUGAGACACGGCCCAGACUCCUACGGGAGGCAGCAGUGGGGAAUAUUGGACAAUGGGGGCAACCCUGAUCCAGCCAUGCCGCGUGAGUGAUGAAGGCCCUAGGGUUGUAAAGCUCUCUCGGCGGGGACGAUAAUGACGGUACCCGCAGAAGAAGCCCCGGCUAACUUCGUGCCAGCAGCCGCCGUAAAAC
rnacentral:rRNA from 1 species